AGCAGCCGCGGUAAUUCCAGCUCCAAUAGCGUAUAUUAAAGUUGUUGCAGUUAAAAGCUCGUAGUUGAAUUUCGGGAUCAAUUAAUUGGUCGUGCCUCUGGUACGUACUGGUUUUAUUGGUUUCUCCCUUCUGACGAACCAUGAUGUCAUUAAUUUGGUGUCGUGGAGAAUCAGGACUGUUACUUUGAAAAAUUAGAGUGUUUAAAGCAAGCUAACGCUUGAAUACAUUAGCAUGGAAUAAUGAAAUAGGACGUUUGAUCCUAUUUUGUUGGUUUCUAGGAUCGACGUAAUGAUUAAUAGGGAUAGUUGGGGGGCAUUAGUAUUCAAUUGUCAGAGGUGAAAAUUCUUGGAUUUAUUGAAGACUAACUACUGCGAAAAGCAUUUGCCAAGGAUGUUUUCAUUAAUCAAGAACGAAAGUUAGGGAUCGAAGACGAUCAGAUACCGUCGUAGUCUUAACCAUAAACUAUAGCCGACUAGGGAUCGGAUGAUGUUAAUUUUUAAUGACUCAUUCGGCGCCUUA
rnacentral:misc_RNA from 1 species